UUUUUCUUCCUUCUCUUUGAAGGAAAGCUGAAGUAUACGUCUCUAAGACAUUAUCUUCGCAGACAUCUUCACAAAAAUAAUGCAAUAGUGACUGGACUUUAUGCAUGCGACUAAACCUACAAAAAGAUAAAGAAGAUGGAAAAACGAAGACAAAGAAUCACAAGUCAAUGAAAAAAAGACAAAAAGGUAUGCCAUCUUUUUGCGUUGCAUAUUGUCG